rnacentral:rRNA from 1 species
AGCGAACGCUGGCGGCAGGCCUAACACAUGCAAGUCGAACGAACUCUUCGGAGUUAGUGGCGGACGGGUGAGGAACACGUGGGAACGUGCCUUUAGGUUCGGAAUAACUCAGGGAAACUUGUGCUAAUACCGAAUGUGCCCUUCGGGGGAAAGAUUUAUCGCCUUUAGAGCGGCCCGCGUCGGAUUAGCUAGUUGGGGAGGUAAAGGCUCACCAAGGCGACGAGCAGUAGCUGGUCUGAGAGGAUGAUCAGCCACAUUGGGACUGAGACACGGCCCAAACUCCUACGGGAGGCAGCAGUGGGGAAUCUUGCGCAAUGGGCGAAAGCCUGACGCAGCCAUGCCGCGUGAAUGAUGAAGGUCUUAGGAUUGUAAAAUUCUUUCACCGGGGACGAUAAUGACGGUACCCGGAGAAGAAGCCCCGGCUAACUUCGUG